rnacentral:rRNA from 1 species
UACGAAGGGGGCUAGCGUUGCUCGGAAUCACUGGGCGUAAAGGGUGCGUAGGCGGGUCUUUAAGUCAGGGGUGAAAUCCUGGAGCUCAACUCCAGAACUGCCUUUGAUACUGAAGAUCUUGAGUCCGGGAGAGGUGAGUGGAACUGCGAGUGUAGAGGUGAAAUUCGUAGAUAUUCGCAAGAACACCGGUGGCGAAGGCGGCUCACUGGCCCGGUACUGACGCUGAGGCACGAAAGCGUGGGGAGCAAACAGG